GCUGGAAUCGCUAGUAAUCGCGAAUCAGAAUGUCGCGGUGAAUACGUUCCCGGGUCUUGUACACACCGCCCGUCACACCAUGGGAGUCGGAAAUGCCCGAAGUCAGUGACCCAACCACAACGUGAACUUCGUUCGCGUGGAGGGAGCUGCCGAAGGUGGAGCCGGUAACUGGGGUGAAGUCGUAACAAGGUAAC
rnacentral:rRNA from 1 species